CGGCUAGUGUUCUUAAGUCAUGCGUGCUUGUUGUUUUUUUAGUGAAUCGCUUCAGACAAACUCUGGGUGGCAGCCAGUAGCGUUAGCAUUCAUCGCCAGCUGUGCAAGAGUAUGCCGAAAGCCUGUCCCCCUCCUACCUCGGCUCACCUCUUGUGAUGACCGGUCAUUGACUUUUUAAGGCCUUCGAAUUGUGGGCAAGGGGUUCUGACCACUGUUUUCUCCGUGUUUUGUUUGAGUUCUAGUAUCGUAGCCAGUCAUGUUUUUCUUUUAGUUUGGGGUUGUUGAUAUCGUGUCUGUGUGUGGGUGUGUGCGCGUGCGUCUUCGUACGGGCAGGCGCUUUGUCUGUUUUUUUGGUUUGUUUUGGGUUUUCUUAAUUUCUUAUAUAUUUUGCCCCGUUCUUCUCUCUUUGUCCAUCUACGGCCUGCGGCCUACUGAACUUCAUCUAGUCAGCCAAACCUGUGUAGUAGCCUGCUUUGUGUGAGCACCUGUUAGUGUAGGUUGACAAUUGCUGUGUAUCCUCGUGUGAUGAAAUU